rnacentral:rRNA from 1 species
AUGUCUGUGGCUCCACACUUCAAUCUUGGACUUGUUCCCAGGGACAUGAAUGGUGGUAUUCCAGUUAGUUCUGCAAAUUCCUCUGGGCCAAGUAUUGGUGUUAGCUCUUUGGUGACCGAUGGCAACUCAUCACUCUCUGGAGGUGCCCAGUUUCAGCAUAGUACGAGCAUGAAUGCUGACUCAUUCAUGCGCCUUCCUUCCUCACCAAUGUCAUUUUCAUCCAAUAACAUAUCUGGCUCGUCCGUCAUUGAUGGGUCCACCAUGCAGCAAAGUCCACCCCAAGAGCAGAUGCAGAAACGGAGAUCAUCUAGUGCAACAUCACAACCUGGAAUUGAGGCUGAUGGUGCAUUUCAUGGUCAGAAGAAGCCAAGGGUUGAUAUUAGGCAAGAUGAUAUCCUGCAACAGCACUUGAUUCAGCAGCUGCUCCAAGGUCAGAGUUCUCUUCAUUUCCAGGGCCAACAUAACCCACAGCUUCAAGCAUUAAUCCGGCAGCAGAAACUGGCACAUAUUCAGCAGCUACAGCAGCAUCAGUUGUCGCAACAAUUUCCUCAGAUUCAGCAAUCUCAAGUUGGCAUACCUCGACAGCCGCAGUUGAGGCCGCCGCUAGCACAGCCUGGGAUGCAACUACCUGGGCCUGUUAGGACUCCUGUCGAGAGCGGGCUUUGUUCUCGAAGGUUAAUGCAGUAUUUGUAUCAUAAGCGUCAGCGUCCAGAGAAUAAUCCCAUAACAUACUGGAGGAAGCUUAUUGAUGAAUAUUUUGCACCACGAGCAAGAGAAAGAUGGUGUGUGUCAUCAUAUGAAAAAAGAGGGAAUUCUCCAAUUGCUAUUCCGACAGCUCAGGAUACAUGGCGUUGUGAUAUUUGUAAUACACAUACUGGGAAAGGAUAUGGUAAUCCUUCUCCAUGGCUGCUUCUGGAAGAUGAAUGCUGUUUUCUUAUGGGAUUAUUCUGUAAUAAUCACCAAAUUCAGUAUUCUUGUAGUUCGUGCGAAAACAAGGCUACCUACGAAAUACUUCCUAGACUCUGUCAAAUUCGAUUUGACCAUGGUGUUGUAGAUGAAUAUCUAUUCCUUGACGUGCCCAAUGAAUUCCGGUUGCCCAAUGGAUUACUUCUCCUGGAGCAUACCAAAGUUGUUCAGAAGAGCAUCUAUGAUCAUCUACAUGUUACGCACGAGGGGCAACUGAGAAUAAUAUUUACUCCGGAACUAAAGAUUAUGUCUUGGGAGUUCUGUUCACGACGGCAUGACGAGUAUAUCACUCGCAGGUUUCUAGCACCACAGGUUAAUCAUCUGCUGCAAAUUGCCCAGAAGUAUCAAGCUGCUGCCAAUGAAAGUGGGCCUGCUGGGGUAUCGACCAAUGAUGCACAAGCCAUUUGCAACAUGUUUGCGUCAGCAUCACAACAACUAGCGAAAAAUCUAGACCACCACAGCUUAAAUGAACAUGGGCUUUCUAAAAGAUACGUUCGGUGCUUGCAGAUAUCAGAGGUGGUGAAUAACAUGAAGGACUUGAUUGAUUUCAGCCACAAGAACAAGCUUGGCCCUAUAGAGAGCCUGAAGAACUAUCCCAGACAAAACGGGCCAAAGCUUACAAUGCAGAACAUGCAUGAGGCAAAGGGGGCCAACACAGAAAUUAGCACCCAUGGGAAUAACGAGGCCCCAGGUGUCGGAACCGUUAGUAGCAGUCUGCAGAAUGCCGUGGCACAAAAUAACUACCAGAGUAUGCUGAGAAGCUCAAGUGCAAACCAGGGUUUGCUUCAGCAGGAGGCGUCACAGAAUGCCGCAGCACUAAACAAUUACCAGAGUAUGCUUAGAAGCUCAAGCGCAAACCAGGGUUUGCUUCAGCAGGAGGCGUCCCAGAAUGCCGCAGCACUAAACAAUUACCAGAACAUGCUUAGAAGCUCAAGCGCAAACCAGCUUCAGCAGGAGGCAUCGCAGAACGCUGCGGCGCUGAACAAUUACCAGACCAUGCUCAGGAGCUCGAGCGCGAACCAGAGCUUGCUUCAGCACGAGGCAUCAAGUAUGUUUAAAGGUCCUACAGGAAUGCACAAUGGCGUUCAGCUGGAAGUGUCCAGAUCCUUCCGUGCGGGUCAGCUUGGGCAGUUCCAGCAGCAUCCCAUGUCGUUUCAGCAAGCCAUGCCCCAGCAUCAGCAGAACAGUUUCGGGGCUGGUGCGAGCACACAGUACCAGCAGCACCUUAUCCAGCAGCUGCUGCAAGAAGCCAAGAGUAGCAACAGCCGUGUAAUGGCGCAGCAGCAGCAGCAGCCUCCUAGCGUGUCGGGACCCGUGAUCACCAACAACCCUGCUAGUGGAGACCAGGCACAUCAGAUGAAUAACGGAGCCGUGAAGGGUGCCGCUCCAACGGGUACGACAGGGCCCAGCAAUCUGAUCAACAGUGGAGUCGGCAUCGUCCAACGAUGCAGCAGUUUCAAGUCAGUGAGCAGCAACCCGGCUGCCGGCGUGGCUGCUUCCGGCGGCAACCCAGCGAGUCCCAAGCCGGCGGAGUCCAUGCAUGAGGAGGACGAGCUCGACCAUCUCAUCAGCAGCGAACUCGCGGAGAGCGGGCUGUUCAUGGGGGAGCAGCAGGGUGGCGGCGCGUACUCGUGGAACAUGUGA